rnacentral:rRNA from 1 species
UACGAAGGGGGCUAGCGUUGCUCGGAAUUACUGGGCGUAAAGGGCGCGUAGGCGGUGUGUCAAGUCAGGCGUGAAAGCCCCGGGCUCAACCUGGGAACCGCGCUUGAGACUGGCACGCUCGAGUUCGGGAGAGGAUGGUGGAAUUCCCAGUGUAGAGGUGAAAUUCGUAGAUAUUUGGGAAGAACACCGAUGGCGAAGGGCAGCCAUCUGGACCGACACUGACGCUGAGGCGCGAAAGCGUGGGGAGCGAACCGG